UGGGGAAUAUUGGACAAUGGGCGAAAGCCUGAUCCAGCCAUGCCGCGUGAGUGACGAAGGUCUUCGGAUUGUAAAGCUCUUUUUGGCGGGGACGAUAAUGACGGUACCCGCAGAAUAAGCCCCGGCUAACUUCGUGCCAGCAGCCGCGGUAAUACGAAGGGGGCUAGCGUUGUUCGGAAUUACUGGGCGUAAAGCGCACGUAGGCGGAUUUGUAAGUCAGGGGUGAAAUCCCGGGGCUCAACCUCGGAACUGCCCUUGAUACUGCAAAUCUCGAGUCCGAUAGAGGUGAGUGGAAUUCCUAGUGUAGAGGUGAAAUGCGUAGAUAUCAAGAGGAACACCUGAGGUGAAGACGGGUUGCUGGGCUGACACUGACGCUGAGGCGCGAAAGCCAGGGGAGCAAACGGGAUUAGAUACCCCUGUAGUCCCUGAGCGGGCUGGCAAGGCGCAU
rnacentral:rRNA from 1 species